rnacentral:rRNA from 1 species
AGACCCGAAACCCGGUGAUCUAGCCAUGGGCAGGUUGAAGGUUGGGUAACACUAACUGGAGGACCGAACCGACUAAUGUUGAAAAAUUAGCGGAUGACCUGUGGCUGGGGGUGAAAGGCCAAUCAAACCGGGAGAUAGCUGGUUCUCCCCGAAAGCUAUUUAGGUAGCGCCUCGUGAAUUCAUCUCCGGGGGUAGAGCACUGUUUCGGCUAGGGGGCCAUCCCGGCUUACCAACCCGAUGCAAACUGCGAAUACCGGAGAAUGUUAUCACGGGAGACACACGGCGGGUGCUAACGUCCGUCGUGAAGAGGGAAACAACCCAGACCGCCAGCUAAGGUCCCAAAGUCAUGGUUAAGUGGGAAACGAUGUGGGAAGGCCCAGACAGCCAGGAUGUUGGCUUAGAAGCAGCCAUCAUUUAAAGAAAGCGUAAUAGCUCACUGGUCGAGUCGGCCUGCGCGGAAGAUGUAACGGGGCUAAACCAUGCACCGAAGCUGCGGCAGCGAACGUAUCACUUAAAGCGAUUCAGCGGGUUACGACUGACGGAGCGAAGCGACGUCAAAGCGUAUA